rnacentral:rRNA from 1 species
UCGGCAAUGGGCGCAAGCCUGACCGAGCGACGCCGCGUGCGGGAUGAAGGCCCUCGGGUUGUAAACCGCUGUCAGAGGGGAUGAAGUGUACGAGAGCUAUCUCUUGUAUUUGACAGAGCCUCAGAGGAAGCACGGGCUAAGUUCGUGCCAGCAGCCGCGGUAAUACGAACUGUGCGAACGUUAUUCGGAAUCACUGGGCUUAAAGGGUGCGUAGGCUGUUACCUAAGUCAGGUGUGAAAUCUCUCGGCUCAACCGGGAAACUGCGCUUGAUACUGGGUGGCUAGAGUGAGGUAGGGGUGUGUGGAACUUCCGGUGGAGCGGUGAAAUGUGUAGAUAUCGGAAGGAACGCCAGCAGCGAAAGCGGCACACUGGGCCUUUUCUGACGCUGAGGCACGAAAGCUAGGGGAGCGAACGGGAUUAGAUACCCCGGUAGUCCUAGCCGUAAACACUGAACACUCGAGGAGGGGGGCUUCGGCCUUCUUCUUCUUAGCGAAAGCGUUAAGUGUUCCGCCUGGGGAGUAUGGUCGCAAGGCUGAAACUCAAAGGA